rnacentral:lncRNA from 1 species
UGGGAAAUCAUGAAGGAGUGGUUGCAGAAGAGCUUUGACCACUGGGAUCCUGAAGAGGAAUACCGCAGAUACCGGCUCGUGGUCGGAGGAGGAGGCCCAUUGGGGAAUUUUCCAUAGGCAGCAUCCCCUCCCUCUAUGACCAGGCCUAGGCCAUAAGCUAUUCUGGUGUUUUGUUUUUUUUUACUUCGAACGGAAACUUCUUUUGUUAUGGAAUAAUGGCCCUC